UGGGGGAUAUUGCACAAUGGGCGAAAGCCUGAUGCAGCGACGCCGCGUGGGGGAUGAAGGCCUUCGGGUUGUAAACUUCUUUUGCUCUGAACAAGGCAUGCUAAUGGGUGUGUUGAGUGUAGGGGUUGAUUAGCGCCGGCUAACUACGUGCCAGCAGCCGCGGUAAUACGUAGGGCGCGAGCGUUGUCCGGAAUUAUUGGGCGUAAAGGGCUUGUAGGUGGCUGGUUGCGUCUGUCGUGAAAGCUCAUGGCUUAACUGUGGGUUUGCGGUGGGUACGGGCUGGCUUGAGUGCAGUAGGGGAGGCUGGAAUUCCUUGUGUAGCGGUGGAAUGCGCAGAUAUCAGGAGGAAUACCGGUGGCGAAGGCGGGUCUCUGGGCUGUUACUGACACUGAGGAGCGAAAGCAUGGGGAGCGAACAGG
rnacentral:rRNA from 1 species